AAUCGUACCCCAAACCGACACAGGUGGUCAGGUAGAGAAUACCAAGGCGCUUGAGAGAACUCGGGUGAAGGAACUAGGCAAAAUGGUGCCGUAACUUCGGGAGAAGGCACGCUGGUGUGUAGGUGAAGCCCCUGCGGGUGGAGCUGAGACCAGUCGAAGAUACCAGCUGGCUGCAACUGUUUAUUAAAAACACAGCACUGUGCAAACACGAAAGUGGACGUAUACGGUGUGACGCCUGCCCGGUGCCGGAAGGUUAAUUGAUGGGG
rnacentral:rRNA from 1 species